ensembl:snoRNA small nucleolar RNA U6-53/MBII-28
CUCCAAUGAUGAUUCCGCCAUGCUAAUACCGAUGCUCCAGGUCAGACGUGUGUCUGCCUGGUGCACGUGAGUUCAACCUACCUUCUCACUGCAUAAGUGGGCUGGGGAGA